rnacentral:rRNA from 1 species
AGAGUUUGAUCAUGGCUCAGAUUGAACGCUGGCGGUAGGCUUAACACAUGCAAGUCGUGCGAGAAAGUAUCUUCGGAUAUGAGUAAAGCGGCGGACGGGUGAGUAACGCGUAGGAAUCUACCUAGUAGAAGGGGAUAGCCCGAGGAAACUCGGAUUAAUACCGUAUACCUCCUUUGGGAGAAAGAGGNCCUCUCUUUGAAGCUUUCGCUACUAGAUGANCCUGCGUAAGAUUAGCUUGUUGGUGAGGUAAAGGCUCACCAAGGCUACGAUCUUUAGCGGGUCUGAGAGGACGAUCCGCCACAUUGGGACUGAGACACGGCCCAGACUCCUACNGNAGNCANCAGUGGGGAAUAUUGGACAAUGGGCNCAANCCUGAUCCANCCAUACCGCGUGUGUGAAGAAGGCCCUAGGGUUGUAAA